rnacentral:rRNA from 1 species
GACGAACGCUGGCGGCGUGCUUAACACAUGCAAGUCGAACGGAAAGGCCCUGCUUGCAGGGUGCUCGAGUGGCGAACGGGUGAGUAACACGUGGGUGAUCUGCCCCUUACUUUGGGUUAAGCCUGGUAAACUGGGGCUAAUACUGGAUAGGACCAUGCUGUAGGUGGUGUGGUGGAAAGUUUAGUUUCGGUAAGGGAUGAGCUCGCGGCCUAUCAGCUUGUUGGUGGGGUAAUGGCCUACCAAGGCGUCGCAGGGUAGCCGGCCUGAGAGGGUGGACGGCCACAUUGGGACGGAGAUGCGACCCAGACGCCGACGAGAGGCAGCAGUGGGGAAAAUUGCACAAUGGGCGCAAGCCGUAUGCAGCGACGCCGCGUGGGGGAUAACGGCCUUCGGGUUGUAAACUCCUUUCAGCCAUGACGAAGCCCUUGUGGUGACGGUAGUGGUAGAAGAAGCACCGGCUAACUACGUG